GACGCCGGCAACCGCCUCGGAGUCAGAACCUCAGAACGUUAAAUGGGAAAAGACGCAGAGGAGAAAGGGACGAACUCAACCGCGAACAUAGCCGAGUGCGCGACGGCUCACGCCGAUCGCAGCCGAGCGCGCGUGCCUCACGAUAGGGGGAGUGCGAUGUGUGCGUGAGCGUGCCCGGGCUUGAAAUCGCAUCACGGGUGCUGAGUGAUUAUCGAUGAUUAAUAACAAAAUUUUAUCAAAAGGAUUUUUCAAGGAAUCCUUACAAAUUUGAUCUGGACAGCCUGAAUGGAAGAGGAGACUUAAGAAAAACAUCAGGCGUUGGUGGAGCGACAAAUGAAUUGUCAGCGACAUUACAAUAUAUAACUCCACAUCGGUCGGUGAGUGAUAAGUAAAUUUUCAUAACUGAGAUAAUAGAUAUGUGACAAU